rnacentral:misc_RNA from 1 species
UCUCCGUUGGUGAACCAGCGGAGGGAUCAUUACCGAGUUAUUACUCCAAACCCUUUGUGAACCUUACCUAUGUUCUGUUGCCUCGGCGGGGAGGAAGACCCCUUAAAAAGGGCCCAGCCCCCGCCGGCAGCACCAAACUCUUGCAUUUAUAGCGGAUUACAUUUCUGAAUACAAUACAAAACAAAUCAAAACUUUCAACAACGGAUCUCUUGGUUCUG